rnacentral:lncRNA from 1 species
GGUGAUUUAACAGCUUUUGUUUUGGGCAGAAGAACCUAUGGGCACAAAAAGCAGGAACGAGUAGCGGUGGCUGAAGAACGAGCAGGAGCUUGAAUUUCAGUUUUCUUAUGAGGAAUUUUCCAGAAAAGAUAUCUUCACUGUGAAAUAACUAAAUAAAUGCCCACUCAGUACAGUCACUGUCUCCCUUUUGGAACUUGAUGGCACCUUAAGCCCAGGUUUGCCUCCACUCUAGAAACUCAUCAGAGUGAUGCCCUUCUCAAAUGGGGGAGGUCCCAAAGCGGAUAUCCUGGCAGUGUGAAAGGCCGGCUAAAGGUUUGUGCCAAGAGGAUCUGUGGAAUGCAUCUCCUACAGCUGGUGCUGCUGAGUAACCACUCUGAUCUGGCAUCUUCUUUGAUCAAGUUACAGAGCAGAGUUUCCAGGGCUGGGGAUUGAAGUCCUGCCUCCUCCCUUUGUCUCUGGUUGUCCUCGCUUUCCCUGCACUCCAAACACAGAGCUGAGACUUCCACCUAAUGUAGAAAGCUAGCACGAGCCGGCGCUGACAGAUGGAAGACUUGAGAUGUUACAAGAUUAUAUAUGGAAACACAAAAGGAGUGGAGUUGCUGGGUCAUAUGGCAAUUCAUUUGAGGAACUGAGAAGCUUAUUCCAUGGAGGCUGAACUGUUUUAUAUUCCCACCAGCAACGUGUAAGGUUCCAGUUUAUCUACAUCAUCACCAACACUUGCUAUUUUCCAUUUCAUUAAUGAUAGCCAUCCUAGUGGAUUUGAAGUGGUACCUUAUUAUCGUGGUUUUGAUUGCAUUCUCUAUUGACUAAUGAUAUCGAGCAUCUUUUCAUGUAUUUUUUGGUCAUUUGGUCAUUUUUCUUUUUUAAUUUUAAAAUUUUGAGACAGGCUCUCACUAUGUUGCCCAGGUGGUCUCAAACUCCUGGGUUCCAGCGAUGCUCAUGCCUCAGUCUCCCAAAGGGGUGGGAUUACAGGUGUGAGCCACUUUGCCCAGCCCAUUUGUAUAUCUCCUUUGGAGAAUAUCUAGGUUCUUUUGAAGGUAGCUGCAUAUAAACUAGCCAAAUUAACAGACUGUGGUUUUUAGAUGGCUUUCCAUAUCUACAAGAACUAUUUAGUUCUCAAAACUGGGAAGAAAUGUUUCAGAGGCAUCAUUAAUUCAUAAUCUAAAAAUUUAUCUUGGGUUUCCUUUUUUCCCCCAGAUUCUGUAUCCUCCAUAGUCCUAUUCAUGACAUGGGUCGUUCAUCUCUGUAUUCUAAACCCUCAAUGAACUGUAGACAGUAAUAAAUAUUUAUUGGAUGAAUGGUCUCUCA